UCCCACCAGGUAGGACAGGUAUUUCACGGACCAGAAACCGUUCGUUGGGGGAGGGGUUUGAUGUACAAACCCAAUCAGAACCUAUGUGCUUUGGUGGAAAGAAAAAAACAAAACAGCAAAUGCUUUACCAGGUACUCAUGUUGAAUGACUAUACAAUGUGCCUUGAAAUACGAAAGAUUCAACUUAAAUGUAUUUUAAGUUACAAGUUUGGACAAUCAUUUUCUUUGACUUUCAAGCACAAAUCUGAGAUACGAGUGCUGUACGAGUGUAUUGAACUCAACUCACCGUCUCAAAUCAUCGUUUUCUAUUGAAAUGAAGGGAAAGCCCAUUAAUCUGUCCCAGUCACUUAACAACAAGCAACACAUUGCCAGAUGGUAUUUAUGAUAUCUGUUUCCUGAAAUUCACAUUUGAAGCUUACUUUGAAAUGAAACAUGAAACUAAGAGAAAAAUAGUUUGUGCAUUAAAAAAAAUUACAUAGCUCAGCCUUAUUAUCAAGUUUAAUGCUCACAAAUAGCAUCUGUAUGGCAGUGCUGUAGCCCUUGAAGCAACCGACUGUACACAAACAGUACAGCAACACUUGUAGACAGAUAAUGUAACAAUACUCCCAGUCAUAUAUUCUUUAUCCUCUGCAAGAACAACUAGCACCGUACUGAGGACCUAAGAGGAGUUGAGAGGUCUCAAUGAACACUAUGCUGUAUCUGUCUGUCUGUCUUACACUGCCCCCUUGUGGCCACACCAGAACGAGCAGCGUGAUGUACCUUGACAAAAAAAAAAUCAGUUCUUUUUCAAUCUUUUUUAACAAUGUCUGUGCUCUACGUUUUUAUACAGUGUAUGAGGAGCAGCUCUUCCCUCAUUAAAAUGCACAUUAUACAAAUUUUUGUUGGUUUUUUUGGGGGAGGUGGCUGGAACAGAUCAAUGGCAUUUCCCUUCAUUUAUAAAGAAAAAUAUGUUUUGAGACAGUGUGGUCAUUGGACAAAUUAAAUUCAUAUCUCAAAGCACCAUUGUAUACUAUUCAUAAAUCACCCUGGCCACAAAUAUGGCUGAAAUAUCGUCUCAUCAACACUUUUUGAUAAAAAAAACAAGGUAUUUUCCCCAUGUGUAAUUCCUACCAAAAAAUAGGAACUGUGUUGAACAAAAAUCCAACUCCAACUAAAUACCCCAAAUCAGCUCUUGUGUGUAUUUGUUUGAGUCAAUCAUUUACUCCUGUAAAAAUGAUUAUUUAGACAGAUGUAUGAAUAAAAUUGUACUGACUGUAUGUUGGUGAAAUCCUCAUUUUAUUUAAUCGCUGAAUACAAAGUCAAAAUCAUUUAACUACAAAGAUUAGAUAUACAAAAUGCUACAACAACCCUUUACUGCGCUUUGUGAGAUAAUCACGGUUAUGUCCUAAGUGACCAAACUGGAGUGUGUACAGUGUGUGUGUGUGUGUGUGUGUGCGCGCUCCAAAGUUUCAUCAGUAGAUCUUUAAUCCCUGCCUGCGUCACUGCAUUCUUCCAAUACGUCACGGUUUAGAUUCCUCCAAACAAACACAAACAAGGCACAGCAGCAUCGGGCAUGCGCCGGACAUGAUCUGUGCUUAGCCACCGCCAGACAGAUGGCACAUCACAUAUGUACCCGUCCGUUCGUGGCCAUUGUUCAUUUGACAUCAGAGCCCGAACACCAGGAAAUUCACAUCUUUCCCAGUCAGCAAAAUUGGUCUGGCCCAGCUCUGGGGCAGACACGGCACGUACACUCGGCCCACAUACCUCAAUGAAUGACGGUCCCUGCAGUGGCCCACGUCUGGCAUCCAUGAUGUGCGCCGCAUUUGGCCCAGAUCUGAGCCGCAUUGUAAAACCAUAUCUGGCCUUACUCCGGCCCGAUGCUGGGCCAGAACAGGUUCCUGAUAGCAGCCUGAAUUCAACCUCAACUAAGCCACAUCUUUCAUGAGCCAUAUCUGACCCACAUUAAAAAAAAGUCUCAAAAACGACUGUUUUAAAAAUAUGUUUAUUGUCAUAAUUUGUGACCCUCACAUAUAACUCCACAUACAUUGGAAAAUGCACUUUUCUUUAUUUAACAGUGAACACAAAGUCCAAAUUGGGAUGCAGCUUACUCUUAAACGGUAUUUUUCUGUCCAUCAAAUUGUUGCGCUGUCCAUGUCCUCUUUUCUUCUCGUGCUCUCCUUCCUGUCACCAUCCCGAUCAGAGCCAGAUGUAGCCAUCUUUUGAUUAUGACAUCAAUUUCCUGGUCUGAGGCCCAAGAUGUUAGGCUGUGAAGUUUUUUUCAAUGUCAGAUUUUUUUUUUGAAUUGAGGUUUUAAAUUAACUUCACGGUAAAGUAUGAAGUAUCCGGUUUAUAUUGCAGCAAACGAAAUCAAAAUGAAUUUCAUUGUAUUUCAGUGCAGAAAGGGUUCUUUUUGGCAGCACCUCUGACUGUUCAAUCACCUUCAUUUUCACAAGUGAUGUGUUGGGUGCGAACGAGCCGGUACAAAGAGUACCGAAAAAAAACGACCAUGUAUAGUAAGGCGUUUUUAGCCGAAAAAAACGACCAUGUAUACUAAGGCGUUUUUAGCCGAAAAAAACGACCAUGUAUAGUAAGGCUUUUUUAGCUGAAAAAAACGACCAUGUAUAGUAAGGCUUUUUUAGACGAAAAAAAACGACCAUGUAUAGGGAGUCGUUUUUAUAAAAAAAAACCCGACCAUGUAUCGUAAGGCGUUUUU